UACGGGAGGCAGCAGGGGGAAUAUUGCACAAUGGGCGAAAGCCUGAUGCAGCUAUGCCGCGUGUAUGAAGAAGGCCUUAGGGUUGUAAAGUACUUUCAUCGGGGAGGAAAAAACAAAACUAAUAAUUUUAUUUCUUGACGUUACCCGAAAAAGAAGCACCGGCUAACUCCGUGCCAGCAGCCGCGGUAAUACGGAGGGUGCUAGCGUUAAUCAGAAUUACUGGGCGUAAAGAGCACGUAGGUGGUUUUUUAAAGUCAGAUGUGAAAUCCCUGGGCUUUAACCUAGGAACUGCAUUUUGAAACUGAAAUACUAGAGUAUCGUAGAGGGAGGUAGAAUUCUAGGUGUAGCGGUGAAAUGCGUAGAUAUCUGGAGGAAUACCUGUGGCGAAAGCGGCCUCCUAAACGAAUACUGACACUGAGGGUGCGAAAGCGUGGGGAGCAAACAGGGAUUAGAUACC
rnacentral:rRNA from 1 species